rnacentral:rRNA from 1 species
CCUACGUGUGGCAGCAGUGGGGAAUAUUGCACAAUGGGGGAAACCCUGAUGCAGCGACGCCGCGUGAGUGCAGAAGGAUUUCGGUAUGUUAAGCUCUAUCAGCCGGGAAGAAAAUGACGGUACCUGAUUCAGAAGCCCCGGCUGACUACGUGCCAUCAGCCGUGGUUAUACGUAGGGGGCAAGCGUUAUCCGGAUUUACUGGGUGUAAAGGGCGCGUAGCCGGCAGCACCAGUACGGAGUGAAAUGCCGGGGGUUAACCCCCGAACUGCUUUGGAAACUGUGCAGCUAGAGUGCAGGAGAGGUAAGUGGAAGGCGUGGUGUAGCGGUGAAAGGCGUAGAUAUUAGGAGGAACACCAGUGGCGAAGGCGGCUUACUGGACUGUAACUGACGUUGAGGCUCGAAAGCGUGGGGAGCAAACAGGAUUAGAUACCCCAGUAGUC